UACGGAGGGUGCGAGCGUUAUUCGGAAUCACUGGGCGUAAAGGGCGCGUAGGCGGCCUGGUAAGUCAGGGGUGAAAUCCCACGGCUCAACCGUGGAAUUGCCUUUGAAACUGCUGGGCUUGGAUCCUGGAGAGGGUGGCGGAAUUCCUGGUGUAGGAGUGAAAUCCGUAGAUAUCAGGAGGAACACCGGUGGCGAAGGCGGCCACCUGGACAGGUAUCGACGCUGAGGCGCGAAAGCGUGGGGAGCGAACGGG
rnacentral:rRNA from 1 species